rnacentral:rRNA from 1 species
UGGGGAAUCUUGCACAAUGGGGGAAACCCUGAUGCAGCGACGCCGCGUGAGCGAUGAAGCCCUUCGGGGUGUAAAGCUCUUUCGGCAGGGACGAUAAUGACGGUACCUGCAGAAGCAGCUGCGGCUAACUACGUGCCAGCAGCCGCGGUAAUACGUAGGCAGCGAGCGUUGUUCGGAGUUACUGGGCGUAAAGGGUGUGUAGGCGGUUGUUUAAGUUUGGUGUGAAAUCUCCCGGCUCAACUGGGAGGGUGCGCCGAAUACUGAAUGACUCGAGUGCGGGAGAGGAAAGUGGAAUUCCUGGUGUAGCGGUGAAAUGCGUAGAUAUCAGGAGGAACACCGGUGGUGUAGACGGCUUUCUGGACCGUAACUGACGCUGAGACACGAAAGCGUGGGUAGCAAACAGG